rnacentral:rRNA from 1 species
CCUACGGUGAGCAGCAGUAGGGAAUUUUGCGCAAUGGGCGAAAGCCUGACGCAGCAACGCCGCGUGAUCGAGACGCCCGUCGGGGUGGAAGAACUGUCAGUGGGGACGAAACUUGACGGUACCCACAGAGGAAGCACAGGCGAACUCCGUGCCAGCAGCCGCGGUAAUACGGGGGGUGCAAGCGUCGUCCUGAAUCAUUGGGCGUAAUGAGUUCGUAUGCGGCACGUAAAGGCUGGUGUUAAAGGCAGAGGCUCAACUUCUGUACGGCACUGGAUACUUGCGAGCUAGAAUGCGGUAGAGGUAAAGGGAAUUCCUGGUGUAGCGGUGAAAUGCUUAGAUAUCAGGAGGAACAUCGGAGGCGUAAGCGCUUUACUGGGCCGUACUUGACGCUGAGGAACGAAAGCCAGGGUAGCAAAUGGGAUUAGAUACCCGGGUAGUC